rnacentral:rRNA from 1 species
UAGGUGGAUGAGUGGCGAACGGGUGAGUAAUACGUGAGUAACCUGCCCUUGACUCUGGGAUAAGCCUGGGAAACUGGGUCUAAUACUGGAUAUGACCUCCUGUCGCAUGGUGGGGGGUGGAAAGGGUUUGUACUGGUUGUGGAUGGGCUCACGGCCUAUCAGCUUGUUGGUGGGGUAAUGGCCUACCAAGGCGACGACGGGUAGCCGGCCUGAGAGGGUGACCGGCCACACUGGGACUGAGACACGGCCCAGACUCCUACGGGAGGCAGCAGUGGGGAAUAUUGCACAAUGGGCGCAAGCCUGAUGCAGCGACGCCGCGUGAGGGAUGACGGCCUUCGGGUUGUAAACCUCUUUCAGCACGGAAGAAGCGAAAGUGACGGUACGUGCAGAAGAAGCGCCGGCUAACUACGUGCCAGCAGCCGCGGUAAUACGUAGGGCGCAAGCGUUGUCCGGAAUUAUUGGGCGUAAAGAGCUCGUAGGCGGUUUGUCGCGUCUGCUGUGAAAGCCCGGGGCUUAACCCCGGGUGUGCAGUGGGUACGGGCAGACUUGAGUGCAGUAGGGGAGACUGGAACUCCUGGUGUAGCGGUGAAAUGCGCAGAUAUCAGGAAGAACACCGAUGGCGAAGGCAGGUCUCUGGGCUGUUACUGACGCUGAGGAGCGAAAGCAUGGGGAGCGAACAGGAUUAGAUACCCUGGUAGUCCAUGCCGUACACGUUGGGCACUAGGUGUGGGGGACAUUCCACGUUUUCCGCGCCGUAGCUAACGCAUUAAGUGCCCCGCCUGGAGAGUACGGCCGCAAGGCUAAAACUCAAAGGAAUUG